AACAACAACGUAUCAUUGACCUGCAGCUCAAUCAUUUUAUCUAAAAAGUAUAAGAUUGGGAAAUCAGACCUAAAACAAAAAGACAAUAUUUAAGAAACGAUUAGGUUAACUUCUCAUAAUUCGUUCUCAAUUUCAAUUAAAU